UGAGGAAUAUUGGUCAAUGGGCGGGAGCCUGAACCAGCCAAGUCGCGUGAGGGAAGACGGUCCUAUGGAUUGUAAACCUCUUUGUCGGGGAGCAAAGAGGCCACGUGUGGUCAAAAGCGAGAGUACCCGAAGAAAAGCAUCGGCUAACUCCGUGCC
rnacentral:rRNA from 1 species